rnacentral:rRNA from 1 species
GUGGGGAAUAUUGGACAAUGGGCGAAAGCCUGAUCCAGCCAUGCCGCGUGUGUGAAGAAGGUCUUCGGAUUGUAAAGCACUUUAAGUUGGGAGGAAGGGCAGUAAGUCAAUACCUUGCUGUUUUGACGUUACCGACAGAAUAAGCACCGGCUAACUUCGUGCCAGCAGCCGCGGUAAUACGAAGGGUGCAAGCGUUAAUCGGAAUUACUGGGCGUAAAGCGCGCGUAGGUGGUUUUGUAAGUUGGAGGUGAAAUCCCCGUGCUCAACCUGGGAACUGCCUCCAAAACUGCAUGACUAGAGUACGGUAGAGGGUAGUGGAAUUUCCUGUGUAGCGGUGAAAUGCGUAGAUAUAGGAAGGAACACCAGUGGCGAAGGCGACUACCUGGACUGAUACUGACACUGAGGUGCGAAAGCGUGGGGAGCAAACAGGAUUAGAAACCCGAGUAGUCC